CUCUCGUUUUACUUUCACACGUUAUCAGCACGCCUAUGCCGAGAGCCUCGACGAAGAACUCUGAUGAAUUCCUUUCUCCGGAUACGCUGGAACAACCUUCUCCUCGUUUCUUCUUUUCGUCGACCCCGUGAUGCAAAGAGUAAGAAGGCCACCAUGAGAAGAAAGCACAAAAUCCUGAGAAUUUACAAUUUCUUGCAUCUACCAUGACGAACACACAUCUGAAGAACAAUAACUGGAAGAGCGGAAAAACAGUCGAACAAGAAUCAGGAAGCACAACGCAAAGAUCAAGAGAUAAAGUCACAAACAGCAAGCAUCCCGAAUCAGCCUUAAAGACCAGAACUCUUGAUCUUAAUCGUUACAUCAUCAGGUGAUCCUAUUCCAAAUUUUGUUCUUAGACAAAUACGUACUAGUAACCUCCAAUCCAGGCGACGUACUGCUUGCAGCGGAGAGCCCAGCCUCGACGUCGCACCGGUGCACGACGUGCAAGACACCCGGCCAACGGCCAACUCCCUUACCAACAGCCGACGCCAAUCGGCCAUGGCCACUGACGAGUGACGACGCAGCGGCCAGCCGAGACGGUGUUUGUGAGGCACCCCUCCUGUUCCGGCUCCUUGCACUACGGCGCGCAGCGCUCAGCCCACGGCCCGGCCACCCUCGGAACCACUGCUUCCGGCGGCAGGACCAGAUCUCGACGCCGGCGGCGCCCUCCGGCGCACCAGGCCGCGACCAUAUGCAUGGCGCUUCCCGUACCGCAGCACUGCAGCGGCAUCGGACGCCCACGACCCUCUCAGCGUGGUGGCUGCUCCUCCAAGCGACGGCACGGCUGGCCCCUCUCAAGGCAGCGGCGAGGCGCCGUGCCUUAGCAAGCAACGGCGAGGUUGGUUUCAAUGGCUAGAAAUCACACGCACCCACGGGAUGGGAAUUGGGCAAACCUUAUCUGUUUGUUUUUUCUCAAUUUAGCCCUUACAGUUUACUUAUUCACGGAUUAGGCACUACCUACAGAUCCUGUGCUAAUCAUGUAUAAGUCAAGUGAUUUCGUUUUUCA